rnacentral:tRNA from 1 species
AGAAAUAUGUCUGAUAAAAGAGUUAC